GGGCAGGAUGCCAGAUAACGUCUGGCGGAGGCGACUCCAGGGACAGUGCAACAGAAAUGUACCGCCGGUCCCAGACCGGUAAGGGUGGAAGGGCAGUGUAAGAGACUACCGCCCGCCUGGCAACAGGCGGGGCACAUGUAAACCCCAUCCGAAGCAAGACCGAACAGAAAGCAUAAGGCGGCCCGUCUGCUUUCGGGUAGGUCGCUUGAGCCAUGCGGCGACGCAUGGCCUAGAUAGAUGACCAUCCAACAACAUAACCCGGCUUAUCGUCUUGCUCAUUAG
rnacentral:RNase_P_RNA from 1 species